rnacentral:rRNA from 1 species
CUGACCGCCUAGGAGACUAGGCUUUCCCUUCGGGGACAGCGGUGACAGGUGGUGCAUGGUUGUCGUCAGCUCGUGUCGUGAGAUGUUGGGUUAAGUCCCGCAACGAGCGCAACCCUUGAUCUUAGUUGCCAGCAUUCAGUUGGGCACUCUAAGGUGACUGCCGGUGACAAACCGGAGGAAGGUGGGGAUGACGUCAAAUCAUCAUGCCCCUUAUGACCUGGGCUACACACGUGCUACAAUGGACGGUACAAAGGGCUGCAAACCCGCGAGGGGGAGCCAAUCCCAGAAAACCGUUCUCAGUUCGGAUUGCAGGCUGCAACUCGCCUGCAUGAAGCCGGAAUCGCUAGUAAUCGCGGAUCAGCAUGCCGCGGUGAAUACGUUCCCGGGCCUUGUACACACCGCCCGUCACACCACGAGAGUUUGUAACACCCGAAGUCGGUGGGGUAACCCUUACGGGAGCCAGCCGCCGAAGGUGGGACAGAUGAUUGGGGUGAAGUCGUAAUCAACGAGCCAGCAAA